rnacentral:rRNA from 1 species
GUUAGGAAUAUUGGGCAAUGGAGGAAACUCUGACCCAGCAACGCCGCGUGAAGGAAGAAGGUUUUCGGAUUGUAAACUUCUGAUCUGUGGGAAGAAGAAAGUGACGGUACCACAGGAGAAAGCCACGGCUAACUACGUGCCAGCAGCCGCGGUAAUACGUAGGUGGCGAGCGUUGUCCGGAAUAACUGGGCGUAAAGGGAGCGUAGGUGGUGAUUUAAGUUAGGUGUGAAAGCCCGGGGCUCAACUUCGGAAUUGCACUUAAAACUGGGUCACUAGAGUGCAGGAGGGGUAAACGGAAUUUCUAGUGUAGCGGUGAAAUGCGUAGAUAUUAGGAAGAACACCGGAGGCGAAGGCGGUUUACUGGACUGCAACUGACACUGAGGCUCGAAAGCGUGGGAAGCAAACAGGA